UAGGAUAUAGUUUAGUGGCAAAGCGCUUGCCUAGCAAGUGCGACAUCCUGGGUUCAAUCCCCAGUACCAAAA
rfam:Dipodomys ordii contig_45537, whole genome shotgun sequence.